GAUUUUGGUGUCACACCUCGUUUCGGGCGUGUGGUGAAAAGGGAAUCAGGUGCGAAUCCUGAACAGACCCGCUGCUGUAAGCUCCACUAAAGUCCGUGAACAAGACUCACAUCCACUGUUUCGACACGAAAUGGGAAGGGCGUUCAAGGACGGAGCAAGUCAGAAGACCUGCCAAGAUC
rnacentral:ncRNA from 1 species